AACGCGAAGAACCUUACCUACUCUUGACAUCCAGCGAAUCCUUUAGAGAUAGAGGAGUGCCUUCGGGAACGCUGAGGCAGGUGCUGCAUGGCUGUCGUCAGCUCGUGUUGUGAAAUGUUGGGUUAAGUCCCGCAACGAGCGCAACCCUUAUCCUUUGUUGCCAGCGCGUGAUGGCGGGAACUCAAAGGAGACUGCCGGUGAUAAAUCGGAGGAAGGUGGGGAUGACGUCAAGUCAUCAUGGCCCUUACGAGUAGGGCUACACACGUGCUACAAUGGCAGAUACAAAGAGAAGCGACCUCGCGAGAGCAAGCGGAACUCAUAAAGUCUGUCGUAGUCCGGAUUGGAGUCUGCAACUCGACUCCAUGAAGUCGGAAUCGCUAGUAAUCGUAGAUCAGAAUGCUACGGUGAAUACGUUCCCGGGUCUUGUACACACCG
rnacentral:rRNA from 1 species